GACGAACGCUGGCGGCGUGCUUAACACAUGCAAGUCGAACGGAAAGGCCUGCUUUCCCUUGUGGAUUGCGGGUACUCGAGUGGCGAACGGGUGAGUAACACGUGAGUGAUCUGCCCCCAACUUGGGUAUAAGCCUGGGAAACUGGGUCUAAUUCCCGAUAGGACUGCAGGGUGGUGCCUGUGGUGGAAAACGAUUUUCUAGUGGUUGGGGAUGAGCUCGCGGCCUAUCAGCUUGUUGGUGGGGUAAUGGCCUACCAAGGCGGCGACGGGUAGCCGGCCUGGGAGGGUGGACGGCCACAUUGGGACUGAGAUACGGCCCAGACUCCUACGGGAGGCAGCAGUGGGGAAUAUUGCACAAUGGGCGUAAGCCUGAUGCAGCGACGCCGCGUGGGGGCGCACGGCCUUCGGGUUGUAAACUCCUUUCGACCGCGAGGAAGCCACCUGGUUGGAAGGGUGGUGACGGUAGUGGUAGAAGAAGCACCGGCUAACUACGUG
rnacentral:rRNA from 1 species